CAGGUCUGCCACCUAUUGUAUGUCGCCGUAAGUUAAUUUAACGAGGUUUCGCUUUCAACGGCCCAGUAUGAUCACAGCAGUGACUAAGAUACGUUUAACGUUACAGGAAGUAUAAAAAUCGGUUAAUUUUAUAGCGAGAUGCCUAGAAAUUACAAAGCACAGGGGAAGAAAGGCGCCUGGAGUGCGACUCAAUUGCAGAAUGCUAUUCUAUUUAUAUCUGCAUUAUAUGCGAAGAGUUUGGACGAGAAGGGGAGUUGUGGUACCGCUGCACACAGUGUGGCAGUUGGGCCCAUGAAUUGUGCAGUGGAUUUGACAGCCCAGAGAACUACAUAUGCGACAUUUGCAUUAAAAUAUAGAUUUUGAAACAAUUUCACUUUUUUCCCAUUUUUAAAAUUAAGUGUUGUUAGUUUUGGAAAUUUUUUUUAUUUUGUUGUGUUUCAAGAACAAUGUACUGAUUUAUUUAACGUACUUACUGUUAUUAUUUACGAUUAUUUAAUAAAAUAUGUUCGAAAUAA